AGGUCAGUAGCUCAGUUGGUAGAGCGGCGGUCUCCAAAACCGUAGGUCGUGGGUUCGAAUCCCUCCUGGCCUG
rnacentral:tRNA from 3 species